AUACGGAAGGCAGCAGUAGGGAAUAUUGCUUAAUGGGCGCAAGCCUGAAGCAGCAACGCCGCGUGUGCGAUGAAGGCCUUCGGGUUGUAAAGCACUUUUUGCUGGGAAGAGGAAGGACGGUACCAGCAGAAUAAGCCUCGGCUAACUACGUGCCAGCAGCCGCGGUAAAACGUAGGAGGCGAGCGUUAUCCGGAUUUACUGGGUGUAAAGCGCGUGCAGGCGGUUGGCUAAGUUGGGUGUGAAAGCUCCUGGCUCAACUGGGAGAGGUCGCUCAAGACUGGCCGACUGGAGAGCAGUAGGGGAAGGUGGAAUUCCGGGUGUAGUGGUGAAAUGCGUAGAUAUCCGGAGGAACACCAGUGGCGAAGGCGGCCUUCUGGACUGCAUCUGACGCUCAGACGCGAAAGCUAGGGUAGCAAACGGGAUUAGAUACCCCGGU
rnacentral:rRNA from 1 species